UUCUCUUUACUCUCCAGGAUCUCCGGGAGGCUAGUGACCACCUGAUGACUGUGAGUGGCGGUCCCCCCAGGGAGUAUGAGAGACACAAUAGAGCAUAGUGGGGAAGAGCACAGGCUUUGCCAUCAUGUCAACCCGGGUGAGAUUCUUUAUCUCUUAAUAGCCAUGCAACCUUGGCCAAGUUUAAUUGCUUAGGCCUGAUUCUGUAUGUGUAAAGUGAGGCUGAUGAACUUAGUUCUCACCUUACGUGAAGCACUAAACAACAGUGAGAUCAUUGGUAGUUAUUAAUUUUGAGAAGAUUCUGUGGCCAGCCCUUUGGAACCGCCAGUGGGUUCCCCGUGGAGCCCACUGUGGGCUCGGGAACAUCACUAGUUAGCUCCCACUCUCUCAUCGGGAACAGUGCUCUCUGGAGACUGGCUGAGUAUUCCACAAGGACCCAGGGAGGCAGCUGGGCAUGUGAGCCACAUCCAACUCCGGGCUCAUGCUGACCAGGGAAGAGGAUGCUUGCUGAGCCUUUUUGGAGGAUCGAAGGAUCUUCAGUGCCUACCAAGAGUGAGUCACCAUGGGAAACAGCAGGCCCCUCAGAGCCAAGGCUACUUGUCAUAUGGUCCGAAAACAAAGUUGGUUGUAGGUUUACAAUGGGAGGAAUCCACUGAGCACAGCAGUGCCGUGUGCAGGAGCCUGCGCCAGGACUUUUGGCAAAGGCCGCAGCUAGAGAACCUCACGUCUUCAUUCCUCAUGAGAAGUGUUUUUGAGAUUCUGCUUCUCUCCCACUGAAACAGGAUAUCCACCUUCUUGGACAAGAGCUUGGACAUCUUCUGGGACCAUCCCCUCCCUCGGUGGCUCUCCCCAAGGGAAGAACUGAGGGAUAGCCUUGCUCUUGCACCCAGCCGGCCUGGGCUUCCUUUUUCUGUGGGCACAUUUCACAUUCACGUGCUCUGAUCAGGUGGUAGAGAACUCGAACAAGAUAUGGUAAUUAUGCUAUUGUGCAUUCAGUGACUCAGACCAGAGCAGCAGAUGGGAAAAGUUGUGGAUCACAACCCUAUGCGAUAUUUGACAGAAUAUCAGUCAAAUAUAGUUCACCCAGCAUCAUGUUUCUGUCAGUCCCUCUUCGCUGAAGUUAAUGUAAAGUGACAAGAUUGACAUCUGCUCUUUUCAAAGGGGUAAUACUGACUUCAGGGCUGCCCUCACCAAUGGAUACCCAGACAGAGCCCUCCGUAGUCAAAGGUGGGUUCUCAGAAGCAAGACCAGCUGUAGACCAGGAGACUUGAGUCAUCGCUCAAGACCUGUGUUGGUCAAUGUGCUGAAGGUCUGGUCUGCAUCACUCUGUUGAGUCAGGAAUACCAGCAGCUGACAGAUGACUUGAGCUGGGCUAUGACAUGAGGAAGACUCUGAAAGAGAAAGACAAGCCUUCCAUUCUUAUGUCAGAGUGAGGUUUGGGAAUGUUAUUGCUAUGUAAA